rnacentral:sRNA from 1 species
CAACGCUGCAACAAGAGUGGUUUUACCGUGAUCAACGUGA